rnacentral:rRNA from 1 species
AACGAACGCUGGCGGCAGGCUUAACACAUGCAAGUCGAACGCCCGUAGCAAUACGGGAGUGGCGGACGGGCGAGUAACGCGUGGGAACGUGCCCUGAGGUACGGAAUAACUGCGGGAAACUGCAGCUAAUACCGUAUGAGCCCCGCAAGGGGGAAAGAUUUAUCGCCUUAGGAGCGGCCCGCGUCGGAUUAGCUAGUUGGUGGGGUAACGGCUUACCAAGGCUUCGAUCCGUAGCUGGUCUGAGAGGACGAUCAGCCACACUGGGACUGAGACACGGCCCAGACUCCUACGGGAGGCAGCAGUGGGGAAUCUUGCGCAAUGGGGGCAACCCUGACGCAGCCAUGCCGCGUGAAUGAUGAAGGCCUUAGGGUUGUAAAGUUCUUUUGCCCGUGACGAUGAUGACGGUAACGGGAGAAUAUGCUCCGGCUAACUUCGUGCCAGCAGCCGCCGUAAGAC